AUCGCUUCUCGGCCUUUUGGCUAAGAUCAAGUGUAGUAUCUGUUCUUAUCAGUUUAAUAUCUGAUACGUCCUCUAUCCGAGGAAAGAAAUUAAAAAAAAAAAAAACUCAGCUUAACUCAU
rnacentral:snRNA from 1 species